GACGAACGCUGGCGGCGUGCUUAACACAUGCAAGUCGAACGGAAAGGCCCUGCUUUUGUGGGGUGCUCGAGUGGCGAACGGGUGAGUAACACGUGAGUAACCUGCCCUUGACUUUGGGAUAACUUCAGGAAACUGGGGCUAAUACCGGAUAGGAGCUCCUGCUGCAUGGUGGGGGUUGGAAAGUUUCGGCGGUUGGGGAUGGACUCGCGGCUUAUCAGCUUGUUGGUGGGGUAGUGGCUUACCAAGGCUUUGACGGGUAGCCGGCCUGAGAGGGUGACCGGCCACAUUGGGACUGAGAUACGACCCAGACUCCUACGGGGGGCAACAGUGCGGAAUAUUGCACGAUGGGCGGAAGCCUGAUGCAGCAACGCCGCGUGCGGGAUGACGGCCUUCGGGUUGUAAACCGCUUUCGCCUGUGACGAAGCGUGAGUGACGGUAAUGGGUAAAGAAGCACCGGCUAACUACGUG
rnacentral:rRNA from 1 species